rnacentral:antisense_RNA from 2 species
CUCGAUGGUGGUGUGCGCAGGGCGCCCUCGGGCGCGCCGGUAUUGCUGGACUCCCCGGUCGACUAACCUGCGCACAGCCGCCCUGU